AUGGCGUCCAAGUCUAGCAUCUCCCCCCUCCUCUUGGCCACCGUCCUGGUCUCCGUCUUCGCCGCCGCCACAGCCACAGGUCCAUAUUGCUACGCCGGGAUGGGCCUUCCGAUCAACCCGCUUGAAGGCUGCCGGGAGUAUGUCGCACAGCAAACCUGUGGCAUCAGCAUAUCCGGGUCGGCGGUGUCCACCGAGCCGGGGAACACCCCAAGGGAUCGGUGCUGCAAGGAGCUUUACGACGCCUCGCAGCAUUGCCGGUGCGAGGCAGUGCGCUACUUCAUAGGGCGGAGGUCUGAUCCCAAUUCCAGCGUGCUCAAGGACCUCCCCGGAUGCCCCAGGGAGCCCCAGAGGGACUUCGCCAAGGUGCUCGUUACGCCGGGGCACUGCAACGUGAUGACCGUUCACAACGCCCCAUACUGCCUCGGUUUGGACAUAUAA
rnacentral:rRNA from 1 species